rnacentral:rRNA from 1 species
AGAGUUUGAUCCUGGCUCAGGACCAUCGCUGGCGGCGCGCUUAACACAUGCAAGUCGAGCGAGAAGCCAGGCUUCGGCCUGGUGGACAGCGGCCAUCGGGUGAGUAACACGUGGGUAAUCUGCCCUCGGCACCGGGAUAGCCCGGGGAAACCCGGAUUAAUACCGGAUGGCCCAUCCGCUUUUCGGAGCGGCUGGAAAAGGUAGCUUUGGCCUCCGGCCGAGGAGGAGCCCGCGGCGGAUUAGCUUGUUGGUGAGGUAAUGGCUCACCAAGGCUCCGAUCCGUAGCUGGUCUGAGAGGACGAUCAGCCACACUGGGACUGAGACACGGCCCAGACUCCUACGGGAGGCAGCAGUGGGGAAUCUUGCGCAAUGGGCCAUAGCCUGACGCAGCGACGCCGCGUGCGGGAAGAAGGCCUUCGGGUUGUAAACCGCUUUCAGGAGGGACCAUGCCACUCGGGUUAAUAGCCCAGAGGGUGACGGUACCUCCAGAAGAAGCCCCGGCUAGCUCAGUGCCAGCAGCCGCGGUAAUACGUAGGGGGCUAGCGUUGUCCGGAUUUAUUGGGCGUAAAGAGCGUGUAGGCGGCCAGGUAGGUCUGCUGUGAAAAUUCGAGGCUUAACCUCGAGAUGUCGGCGGAAACCAUCUGGCUAGAGUCCGGAAGAGGAGAGUGGAAUUCCUGGUGUAGCGGUGAAAUGCGCAGAUAUCAGGAAGAACACCCGUGGCCAUGGCGGCUCUCUGGGACGGUACUGACGCUGAGACGCCAUAGCGUGGGGAGCCAUCAGGAUUAGAUACCCUGGUAGUCCAUGCCGUAAACGAUGGGUGCUAGGUGUGGGCGGUGUCGACUCCGUCCGUGCCCAUGCUAACGCAUUAUUACAGCA